rnacentral:lncRNA from 1 species
GUAUGGGGAAAGUUUAAGGUGGAAGGGCCCUAGUUUGUCGGCUGCUUGAGAAGUCUGGGGAUUACUGGGGCUAAUAGGACUUCAGCUGGGGCUUCAUCAUGUGGUCUGGGCUUCCUGACAGCAUGGCCACUGGUUUCCAAGAGUUUCAACAAUAUUUUCGUCAUAUUUAUUGAAGCCCUCACUGACAGACUUCUCAAGGCCCCCUACCUUCUAUUCACUGCCUGGCCCCAAAGCCAGUGCCACACGUUUUAGGUUUUUAACUGCAGCAGCACCUAUAAUGGUUCCAAAAUCUGUAUCGUUAAAGUUUGAUCAGAGAAGCAAAACCACCUUGAGCAAAACAAGGAAUGUAUUAAAGAGAUUAGGAUACACAUUGUUAUGAGAGCUGCAGCCUGCUGCCCGUGUGUCCUGAAGUGGGCCUGAAGUCAGCAGGGCUGGCAAAUGGAUGUGUAGUGGGAGACAGUCGACAUGAGCUGCACCUGCAGGGAGGAGAUGGAACUCCUGUGGAUGGACUGAUACUGAUGUCUUCCACAUCAGCCUCUCAGGCCUCCAACACUCCUCCUCCUCUGAUGAAGAUGACCUGCAGAAGAGCUGGUGCGCUUCACCAUGGAAUUGCUCAUAAACCCAAGAUUCAGUGAAGCUGAAGAAGCAGUUCUGGUGGGAGCUGGAGGAACUGCAGGCACAGCCGCUGCCCUGUACCAAUACAUUGAGCCAGUGGGAGCCUGGCAUUGUGUGUGAGUCACCACAGCGCCCGGCCCUACACAGACUCUGACUGUAAAUACGACUGCUGUUUCACUUCUGCCUUCCAAAUUUUGCUCAUAUUUUCUGAGAAACAUAGUUCAGCUUAGGCACAUUGACACAGUACAAAGCCACCGCAGUGGCUGGCCAGGGAGGGAUUAUGAAUGCAGGCUGAGAAUGCACAGGAAGUGUUUGUGUAUUUAUAGAGUAGGUACCAUUCAAGGAUUUAUGUGAAUCAGGUGCAAAGAACUCACACAAAGGUGGGGAAAGUUAGUGCUUAGAAAUCAGUGAUACUAGAUAAUCAAUAAAUACAAAUAAAC